rnacentral:rRNA from 2 species
GUGAACCGGGAUGAGCUCAAAUUUAAAAUCUGGCGUCUUUCAGGCGUCCGAGUUGUAAUCUAUAGAGGCGUUUUCCGCGCCGGACCGCGUCCAAGUCCCUUGGAAUAGGGUAUCAAAGAGGGUGACAAUCCCGUACUUGACGCGACGACCGGUGCUCUGUGAUACGUUCUCAACGAGUCGAGUUGUUUGGGAAUGCAGCUCUAAACGGGUGGUAAAUUCCAUCUAAGGCUAAAUAUUGGCGAGAGACCGAUAGCGAACAAGUACCGUGAGGGAAAGAUGAAAAGCACUUUGGAAAGAGAGUUAAACAGCACGUGAAAUUGUUAAAAGGGAAACGAUUGAAGUCAGUCGUGUGGGAGGUAUUCAGCCGUCUCUGGCGGUGUAUUUGCCUCUCACGGGUCAACAUCAGUUUGAUCCGGUGGAAAAAGGCGGGAGGAAGGUGGCACCUUCGGGUGUGUUAUAGCCUCCUGUCAUAUGCACCGGAUUAGACUGAGGAACGCAGCUCGCAGCAAUGCCGGGGUUC